UGCUUCAGCCUGCAGGGCAGGGAUGAGGUGAGCAAGCCAGACUGCAGCGAGCUGACCCCCGGGGACAGGAGCCGCAGCCAGACAGAUGCGGGGCUGUGGGGAGACGGACACCAUCACUGCCAGGUCAGGCGGGCCAGGAGCACAGGGCAGAGCAGGUGCCUGAACACCCCCAACACGCUCCCCUUGAUCAGCCAAACCCAUCAGCAACCGGAUCAAGUGGGCUCCAAGACUCCCAUCAGACAGGCUCUGGGGGAAGCAGCACUGGGUCUCCGAGGACCUGGCCCUGAGCGGAGGCUGCCGUCAUCUGUGGAACCUGAUGCUGAAGCUGGCGUCCUGCAAGGAGGCCCCAGAGCCUGGGACACCAUCUGGCAGAGAGAAUGUCAGCACUGA
rnacentral:lncRNA from 1 species